GGAUUCCACUUCCGCUCCACUAGCGCGGCAGCAGCAGCUGCCUUCAGGCCCCGCGCCGCCUCCGGAGUCCAUGGCCGGCACGCGCUGGGUACUCGGGGCGCUGCUCCGGGGCUGCGGCUGUAACUGCAGCAGCUGCCGGCGCACCGGCGCCGCCUGCCUGCCCUUCUACUCUGCUGCUGGCGCUAUCCCGUCGGGCAUCUCGGGUCGCCGCCGCCUGCUGCUGCUGCUCGGGGCCGCCGCGGCCGCUGCCUCCCAGACGCGUGGCCUCCAGACCGGGCCUGUGCCUCCCGGGAGGCUGGCGGGGCCUCCCCCUGUGGCCACCUCUGCCGCGGCCGCGGCCGCCGCGUCCUACCCUGCCCUCCGUGCCCCUCUGCUGCCGCAGUCGCUGGCGGCGGCGGCGGCCGCAGGCCAGACGCGCAGCUACAGCCAGGAGUCCAAAACUACUUACCUGGAAGACCUUCCACCACCCCCUGAGUAUGAAUUGGCCCCGUCCAAGUUAGAAGAGGAAGUGGAUGAUGUCUUCCUCAUUCGAGCUCAAGGACUGCCCUGGUCAUGCACUGUGGAAGAUGUGCUUAACUUUUUCUCAGACUGCAGAAUCCGCAAAGGUGAGAAUGGGAUACAUUUUCUCCUAAAUAGAGAUGGGAAACGAAGGGGUGAUGCCUUAAUUGAAAUGGAGUCAGAGCAGGAUGUGCAGAAAGCCUUAGAGAAGCACCGCAUGUACAUGGGCCAGCGGUAUGUGGAAGUAUAUGAGAUAAACAAUGAAGAUGUGGAUGCCUUAAUGAAGAGCUUGCAGGUCAAAUCUUCGCCUGUGGUAAAUGAUGGUGUGGUUCGUUUGAGAGGACUUCCUUAUAGUUGCAAUGAGAAAGACAUUGUAGACUUCUUUGCAGGACUGAAUAUAGUUGACAUUACUUUUGUGAUGGACUACAGAGGGAGACGAAAAACAGGGGAAGCCUAUGUGCAAUUUGAAGAACCAGAAAUGGCCAACCAAGCCCUGUUGAAACACAGGGAAGAAAUUGGUAAUCGAUACAUCGAGAUAUUUCCAAGCAGAAGGAAUGAAGUUCGAACACAUGUUGGUUCUUAUAAGGGAAAGAAAAUCGCAUCUUUUCCUACUGCUAAGUAUAUAACUGAGCCAGAAAUGGUCUUUGAAGAACAUGAAGUAAAUGAGGAUAUUCAACCCAUGACAGCUUUUGAAAGCGAGAAGGAAAUAGAAUUGCCUAAGGAGGUGCCAGAAAAGCUUCCAGAGGCUGCUGAUUUUGGAGCUACGUCUUCUCUGCAUUUUGUCCACAUGAGAGGAUUACCUUUCCAAGCCAAUGCCCAAGACAUUAUAAACGUGUGUGGCAGUAAGAUAUCCAAUCUCAAUAGAUUUGAACAAAAGUUCUAAAAUUGAACUUGUAUUAAUUUGGGGAAGGUAGAGAAGAAAAUAUAGUGUUUCUGUGUUGGAUAGUAAGAUGGCAUCUUCCUGGUUGCAAGGCUUGCUUCUUUUUCUGCAGCUGAAAAGUGUGGCUUGGUAUUACUUUUUUUUGUGACAGAGUCUUGCUCUGUCGUCCAGGCUGGAGUGCAGUGGCGUGAACUCAGCUCACUGCAACCUCUGCCUCGCGGGUUCAAGCAUUUCUUCCGCCUCAGUCUCCCGAGUAGCUGGGAUUACAGGCAAGCACUACCAUGCCUGGCUAAUUUUUGUAUUUUCAGUAGAGAUGGGGUUUCACCAUGUUGGCCAGGCUGGUUUUGAACUCCUGACCUCAAACGAUCCACUCCCCGGCCUCCCAAAGUGCUGGGAUUACAGGCGUGAGCCACCAUGCUCACUGAGAGCAGAUAUUUAAAUGUCACUUUGAGUUCUAAGAAAAAGUAGAAAAGCCAGAAGACAUACUAGAUAUAUAAAUAUAUUACUGCUUAAAAAGAUUUCCUAAAAACAAAUAUAUCAAGUGUAUGAAUCAAAAUCUGAAAGAAAGAUGAAGAGCUGCCAGACUUCUAGGCAGGUUUACAUCCAUCAUGUUCCUCUUGACUGCCUUUGUUUGUUGUUUAGUUUUUUGCUCCACUCAAGCCUGUUAGAAUCACCAUGGAAUACAGCUCCAGUGGGAAGGCCACUGGAGAAGCUGAUGUGCACUUUGAGACCCAUGAGGAUGCUGUUGCAGCGAUGCACAAGGAUCGGUCCCACGUUUAUCAUAGGUAUAUUGAACUGUUCCUGAAUUCAUGUCCAAAAGGAAAAUAAGACUCCAGGGGCUCCAGAUAAUAAGAGUGAAGCAAGAAGCAUUUCAUUUGCACAUCUUUCUUGGACGUGGGAUAUACAGUUCCAGUUUAUUAGCAGCAACUGCUAGGGAAAUGAUUUUGGUGUUUUGGGUUAAUUGCUUCUAAGAAAAGUUUCAUAAUGGACUGUUUAGAAGAAGAAAUGAAAGAUCCAGUUUGGGAUUAUGAAAUAAACCACAAAUUAAAAUUUUUGUUUGAACUGUCCAGGAUCUGAUUUAAAAAUAUGGUCUUUGUUUUAUAUGAUUAAAUGGUUUGUUUUCAUAGAUGAUAUGUUACCCAUUGUAAAGACUACGUAUUUUUAUUCAGCAGUGUUCUUUAAACGCUUUCAUUUAAAAAGUAACUUUUUUUUUUUGCCUGUGAAUUGAGCGCUCUGAUGUAAAACUUCUUAUGGAGUAAAACAGUGAUUUAUUUUAACCAAACAUUCACCAAAGCAAAAAACGGUUUCAGACCUUUGAACUGGUAUGGUUUGGCAGAAUAGUUUUAAAUUUUGCUGUAUUUGAUUACUUAGAGAUAAGAAUUUUUAAAAAUCAAAACAAAAAAUACCACAGCUUAGUGUAAAUGACAAUUUGGUGGUUUUAUGUCUUUAGAAAUGUUUUGCCUUUCUAAGCCUUGUGCUAAAGGCAUAUAACGGUGGUGCCUAUCUACUUAAGGGGGCAUUCUAGUCUUAACUUAAAAGUUGUCUAAACUGUCCCUCCCUGGCUUUUUUUGGUUUGGGGUAAACCUAAGGGUGUUUGUUAGUCUCAAAACUGAAGUGACAUGUCAGAACAGUCCAGGCUGGUAAGAAAAUUAAUGGCUUCACUUGAAUUUAAACCAGCUUUAGAUAGGAAAAAAAAUCAGUCUCCUCAUUUGCUUUUUUAAUAGAGUAGUACAUCCCAUAUUUUAGAACAAGUAGGGGUGCCUUGCUUAAAUAAAAAUAGCAUUUAAUAUAUAAUUGUGUGAAGGGUUUAUGGAUAAAGCUGUACCUCUGUCACAAAGUGGCAGUACAUUCUGCUUUAAUAUUAAACAGCUUGUUAUUUAAAUACUGGACAAAAUGGCUGGCUUCAAAAUAUAGUCAUUAAUAAACUAACUUUUUGUGCACCUGUGUAGGAGAAUCAACAUCCUGUAUACUUUCUUUGCCUUGUUCCUGUUCUCAGGGUGACGACUGCCACCAGGAGAUGCAGUUCUCUAGUUCUUAAAAUUAAAUUUGCCCAGGUUUCUGACAGGUGAUAUCUGGAAGAGAGACCAUGUCUUCUCUUACUUAAUACAUAACCAUCUUUGAUUACCAGCUAAGAUGCAAAAUCACUGUACUGUAGUCAAUAAAUGAAGACUUGUUUCAGGCUGAA
rnacentral:sRNA from 1 species